UCGAGAAUCUUUCGCAAUGGACGGAAGUCUGACGAAGCGACGCCGCGUGUGUGAUGAAGGCUCUAGGGUUGUAAAGCACUUUCGCUUGGGAAUAAGAGAAGGCGGUUAAUACCCGCCGGAUUUGAGCGUACCAGGUAAAGAAGCACCGGCUAACUCCGUGCCAGCAGCUGCGGUAAUACGGAGGGUGCUAGCGUUAAUCGGAUUUAUUGGGCGUAAAGGGCGUGUAGGCGGAAGAGUAAGUCAGUUGUCAAAUCUCGGGGCUCAACCCCGAAUCGGCAUCUGAUACUAUUUUUCUAGAGGGUAGAUGGAGAAAAGGGAAUUUCACGUGUAGCGGUGAAAUGCGUAGAUAUGUGGAAGAACACCAGUGGCGAAGG
rnacentral:rRNA from 1 species